rnacentral:rRNA from 1 species
AUUGAACGCUGGCGGCAGGCUUAACACAUGCAAGUCGAGCGGGGUGAUGGUGCUUGCACUAUCACUUAGCGGCGGACGGGUGAGUAAUGCUUAGGAAUCUGCCUAUUAGUGGGGGACAACAUCUCGAAAGGGAUGCUAAUACCGCAUACGUCCUACGGGAGAAAGCAGGGGAUCACUUAUGACCUUGCGCUAAUAGAUGAGCCUAAGUCGGAUUAGCUAGUUGGUGGGGUAAAGGCCUACCAAGGCGACGAUCUGUAGCGGGUCUGAGAGGAUGAUCCGCCACACUGGGACUGAGACACGGCCCAGACUCCUACGGGAGGCAGCAGUGGGGAAUAUUGGACGAUGGGGGGAACCCUGAUCCAGCCAUGCCGCGUGUGUGAAGAAGGCCUUAUGGUUGUAAAGCACUUUAAGCGAGGAGGAGGCUCUUUUGGUUAAUACCCAAGAUGAGUGGACGUUACUCGCAGAAUAAGCACCGGCUAACUCUGUGCCAGCCGCCGCGGUAA